UACGAAGGGGGCGAGCGUUGUUCGGAUUUACUGGGCGUAAAGGGCGCGCAGGCGGCCGGCCAAGUCAGGCGUGAAAGCCCCGGGCUUAACCUGGGAAUUGCGUCUGAGACUGGAAGGCUUGAAUCCGGGAGAGGGAUGUGGAAUUCCAGGUGUAGCGGUGAAAUGCGUAGAUAUCAGGAGGAACACCGGUGGCGAAGGCGGGUCUCUGGGCCGAUACUGACGCUGAGGAGCGAAAGCAUGGGGAGCAAACAGG
rnacentral:rRNA from 1 species